CACCUUCUUACCUUGUUGUCAAAUUCCUAAAUCUCUUCAACCAAAUAAAGGAAGCCCUAAACCCCAACUUAUUCCUUCUCUCACUCAUUCAGUACUCUUCUCCUCUUUCCUCUAUCACCGUCAGUUUGGCCCUCUACCGGCGUUGCCGCCGCCGCUGCUGCUACUAUGGUUGCCGGAUUUUCUCUCUUCUCUAUUCUAUUGUUGAUUCGUGUUGCUUAAUCGGUUGUGGUUUUGUUUUCUCUCCUCUGCGUUGUUCCUCGGUGUUCCUCGCUGACGAGUUGUUGCUUGCUGUUUUGUUCUUUUCCGUCUCCUCUGCCUCAGCAUGGCGGUUGUCGAUGUUCGGUUGGUGGUCCACCGGCACCGCUGCCGCCGCUAAUAGUGGUCGAAGUUCAUAUAUCGAUUGGUAUGCAAAGAUGAUGUACUAAUGGGGCUAUAUGCGAAGUUGGGUAAAGAGUUCAUUGUUAGUGAUCUUGCAGGUUCGGAUGUGGAAAGCUCGGAAUAGAGUAAAAGGAAGAAUUAGUUAUCAAAGUUAUAAUUAGAUGUAAUGGUUCAGAAGUUGUAUUUAGGAUUAUAUAUCGUUAUUUGUAAAUAAAUUAUCAUAUUGCUUUGGAAGUCGAGCAAAGUAUUAUGUAAUAUGUUAUUUGGUUUUUGAGGAUGACUGUUGUGGGCCCAUAACCCACAGGUCCCAGGAUCGUUUAUAGGUUAUUUUUCCGCUGCAAGUAAAGAUAAUUCGAGGUUAAUAAACGUUAUUUGUAAUUAGUGUA